CUCAACCUAGACGAUGAUGGUACUCCUUCUGACCAGCAUUUGUAGUGUUGGUCUUGACCUUAUUCACACCGUCUUCGCUCCUCUUGUAUUCGACAAAUGCCUCCUAGUGGUCCCUCAACUUUGGCCACACAUCGAAAUCCGGAGUUCGGCCCUUCUUAAGGUAGUUGGUAUCCAACAUCUUCUUGAAUGUCUUGAAUUGUGUGGCCAUCUUCUUCAGCAUCCAAGCUUU
rnacentral:lncRNA from 1 species